rnacentral:rRNA from 1 species
CACCGGAUCCCAUCAGAACUCCGAAGUUAAGCGUGCUUGGGCUAGAGUAGUACUAGGAUGGGUGACCUCCUGGAAGUCCUCGUGUUGCACCCCA